CCUACGGGCGGCAGCAGUGGGGAAUAUUGGGCAAUGGGCGCAAGCCUGACCCAGCAAUGCCGCGUGAAUGAAGAAGUCUUUCGGUUUGUAAACUUCUUUGACAGGGGAAGAGCAAAAGACGGUACCCUGAAAACAAGCCACGGCUAACUACGGGCCAGCAGCCGCGGUAAUACGUAGGGGGCAAGCGUUGUCCGGAUUUACUGGGUGUAAAGGGCGUGUAGACGGGAAUGCAAGUCAGAAGUGAAAUCUGGAGGCUCAACCUCCAAACUGCAUUUGAAACUGUUUUGCUGGAGUACUGGAGAGGCAGACGGAAUUCCUUGUGUAGCGGUGAAAUGCGUAGAUAUUAGGAGGAACACCAGUGGCGAAGGCGGUUUACUGGACAGCAACUGACGGUGAGGCGCGAAAGCGUGGGGAGCAAACAGGAUUAGAUACCCUUGUAGUC
rnacentral:rRNA from 1 species